rnacentral:rRNA from 1 species
AAUGGGUCAGCGACUUAUAUUCUGUAGCAAGGUUAACCGAAUAGGGGAGCCGAAGGGAAACCGAGUCUUAACUGGGCGUUAAGUUGCAGGGUAUAGACCCGAAACCCGGUGAUCUAGCCAUGGGCAGGUUGAAGGUUGGGUAACACUAACUGGAGGACCGAACCGACUAAUGUUGAAAAAUUAGCGGAUGACUUGUGGCUGGGGGUGAAAGGCCAAUCAAACCGGGAGAUAGCUGGUUCUCCCCGAAAGCUAUUUAGGUAGCGCCUCGUGAAUUCAUCUCCGGGGGUAGAGCACUGUUUCGGCAAGGGGGUCAUCCCGACUUACCAACCCGAUGCAAACUGCGAAUACCGGAGAAUGUUAUCACGGGAGACACACGGCGGGUGCUAACGUCCGUCGUGAAGAGGGAAACAACCCAGACCGCCAGCUAAGGUCCCAAAGUCAUGGUUAAGUGGGAAACGAUGUGGGAAGGCCCAGACAGCCAGGAUGUUGGCUUAGAAGCAGCCAUCAUUUAAAGAAAGCGUAAUAGCUCACUGGUCGAGUCGGCCUGCGCGGAAGAUGUAACGGGGCUAAACCAUGCACCGAAGCUGCGGCAGCGACGCUGAUGCGUUGUUGGGUAGGGGAGCGUUCUGUAAGCCUGUGAAGGUGUGCUGUGAGGCAUGCUGGAGGUAUCAGAAGUGCGAAUGCUGACAUAAGUAACGAUAAAGCGGGUGAAAAGCCCGCUCGCCGGAAGACCAAGGGUUCCUGUCCAACGUUAAUCGGGGCAGGGUGAGUCGACCCCUAAGGCGAGGCCGAAAGGCGUAGUCGAUGGGAAACAGGUUAAUAUUCCUGUACUUGGUGUUACUGCGAAGGGGGGACGGAGAAGGCUAUGUUGGCCGGGCGACGGUUGUCCCGGUUUAAGCGUGUAGGCUGGUUUUCCAGGCAAAUCCGGAAAAUCAAGGCUGAGGCGUGAUGACGAAGCACUACGGUGCUGAAGCAACAAAUGCCCUGCUUCCAGGAAAAGCCUCUAAGCAUCAGGUAACAUCAAAUCGUACCCCAAACCGACACAGGUGGUCAGGUAGAGAAUACCAAGGCGCUUGAGAGAACUCGGGUGAAGGAACUAGGCAAAAUGGUGCCGUAACUUCGGGAGAAGGCACGCUGAUAUGUAGGUGAAGUCCCUUGCGGAUGGAGCUGAAAUCAGUCGAAGAUACCAGCUGGCUGCAACUGUUUAUUAAAAACACAGCACUGUGCAAACACGAAAGUGGACGUAUACGGUGUGACGCCUGCCCGGUGCCGGAAGGUUAAUUGAUGGGGUUAGCGGUAA